AAAAUACUCCCUUUGUCUGAAAUUUUUUGCCGGACAAAUGGAUGUAUUUAGACGUAUUUUUAGUUCUAGAUAAAUCCAUUUUUAUCCAUUUCUCUCACAAGUAUUUCCGGACAGAAGGAGUAGUAA
rnacentral:pre_miRNA from 1 species